rnacentral:misc_RNA from 1 species
UAAUAAGUGCUUUUAUGGCACUUUUAAAUCCAAUCCACCUUGUGUGGCAAGGUCGCGAUCUUCUUCUGAGGAUCGACCAAACAUCAACCUUUAUCUUUUAACUCUUUGUCUGAAAAAUAUUAUGAAUAAACAAUUCAAAU